AUUACUUUUAGGCUUCUAGAGCCAGGCAGACAUCGAUUGGCUCAUGUAUCCUUCACUCUGCGAGACGGGCGAGACGGCGGGGCUCUGAAGCGCGUUUUUGAAUUUGUGGCGUUUAUAGCGUAAAUCCGUGAGGUACCGUGUGGAGUUCGUGGUGUGGCUGAAGCCAGCUUCUCAGGGUGAAGACUGAAUUCCUGAGCUGUGGCAGAACUUGAACCCCUCAAGUCACAUAGAAAUCUGCCCAUCAAAUAUCGGACUGCUAUCGCCUGCCCCUGGCUCAGCGCCCUGUGCCAACAGAACACCUUUCAGGAUUCACAGCAGCGCAGACAACGAUCCCAAGCAGCACCCACAAAGAGGAAAGAACACCGCCCACACCCUGGGCCAGGGACUGAGGAUUCCAAUGGGCAGGCACACCAACCUGGAAGAAUCUGUGAAUUCCUGCCUGAGGUGAAGAGUCAAGCCAUUCCAUGCCAGUGACUACUAUCUUCUACAGAAUCCCCAGCCAGUAUGUGAAAGCAAUUUUAUACCCCUGAGGAUUCCCACCAGAAUGCAAGCCUGCCAUCUCUGUGGUUACUCACUUGCCAGUUAACCCGCCUGCCAAUUCUGCCAUCACACCUGGGGAGAGAGGUAUUGUUAAUAAUAAUAUCCUCUCCCUCCUUUUCCUUUUGCUCUUUCAUAUAUUACCUAGCCCCCAUCUUCCUAUACCUCUUUUCCAUGUUACAAGUACACAAAUGUAUCAACAGGUUCCAACAGCCACAUAGCUUUCCUCAUUCACAAAGUACACCUCCUUCCUUCUAUAUCUUGUCCUCAUUUCCAUGAAUAUCUUAUGAAAACUCUCAGCACUAAUCCUUCAACCCAACUAGAUGAUUCACAAUAGAAUCUGAUCCCAUAUAAAAUUUUCUUUCUUUUCACCUAUCACUCUCUUCCCUAACAAGCUCCCUCUUACUGACCUACACUCUUUCACCCACCCUUCCAUCUCUUUCUUCGCCUUCUCCUGCUACAUUAUAGAACAACUGCUAAUAAUAAGUGAACAUAGACUUUAUAGAAUAUUGUAAGUGAUAUAUGAUAAGAUCUAGUAGUGCUGUUGUAACUAGAAACAUACAUAGGGACUGAAUUCAAAUCACUUAAAUAGCUGAAGUGGUAAAUACUAUCUCUGGGCAUAUAAAGUUGAAACAUCGCAGGAAGGCAGUAUCUUAUUAAAAAUCUUCAUAUAAUUGUCAAGCUCUUCUUAUUCUACUAGACCUCAACAUGCGUAUAAAUAAAUAAAUAGACAAACGGGAGGGGGAAUAAAAGAACAGAUAUGAAUAACCGUAGUGUUAUAAGAAAACAAGGCAACAAAAGAUGCCCAAGCACUCCCAACUCUCCCCAGGCAGAUUCAGGGGGCACAAAUGGAGAGGAAAGCAAACAUUAUAUAAUGGAGCUCUAUGAAAUGUUUAAAGAACAGGUGAAGAGACUUGGCAAGUUCAAGGAGGACAUUACCCCAUAGUUUAUGGAAUUGUACUCAAAAUGUUCAGUG